GGUCAGGGGCAAAGGGGUGAGUAACACGUAGAGCAAUCUGCCCCUGACUCUGGGAUAGGCGCUGGAGGCGGCGUCUAAUACCGGAUACGAGCUGCGACCGAUGGUCAGUAUCUGGAAAGAAUUUCGGUCAGGGAUGAGCUCGCGGCCUAUCUCUUGUUGGUGAGGUAGUGGCUCACCCCCGCGUCGACGGGUACCCGGCCUGAGAGGGUGACCGGACACACUGGGACAGAGACGCGGCCCACACUCCUCUGGGAGGGGCGGUGGGGAAUAUUGCACAAUGGGCGCAACCCAAAUGUACCACCGCCGCGAGAGGAAUGACAGCCUUGGCGUUGUAAACCUCUUUUAUCAGGGAAGAAGAGAAAGUGACGGUACCUGCCGAAAAAGCCCCGGCUAUCUACGGGCCGCCUCCGCGUAAAUAUGUCGGCCCCGUGCGUUUUCCGGAAUUAUUGGGCGUAAAAUCUCUCGUGCGGCUGUCGCGUCUGCGGUGAAACUUGAGGCUCAUCCUCGAACCUACAUAGGCU
rnacentral:rRNA from 1 species